rnacentral:lncRNA from 1 species
AUUUACAGGUGAAACACACACAAUAUUACACAUAAACAGCUGCAACCAAUCCAUUCCAACAUGGCCUAGCGAUAUUACACAAAAUCGAUGCCAUUUUACAUUCAACCUCUUUGCAAUAAUAAGUCUCGCAACACUGUCCGCAUGAUGUUUGACGGAGUGAACGGAGUAGAGGGAGCCAUUUUUGUUUUGUUGUGGAGCAGUCGAUUCUUCAAUUUUAUGUUAAAAAUUCGUGAAAAAUCUUAAAGAUGUCCCAACAAACAGUGCUUACAUUGUUUAUGAGUGAAUUAACUGUGGUCCCGGAAGGAACAGUCCACCGGAAUCCACCCGGUGUGAGGUUCGUACCCCGUAAAGUACACGGCGGACGGCAGGUUACCAUCAUGUGGCCAAUAGAGUAAGAACACACCAGUGUGGCUCGAAUGAAUUCCAGAACGGACCUAGCUAGCGCCUACAGUGAAACGGAUCGAUACGAAACGAGUAUGAACGAGCUUUGUGAAUUAUUCUACUGUUUGGUGAAGGAAUCUAAACACAUCCUCGAGUGCCUUCAGGAAGGGUCUACUGCGGUUCCUCGGAUAAUUGUUUAAAACAUUAAAAAAUGUACUACAUGUUGUAAUAAAAAAAAGUUGAUGAUUUAAAUGAA